GACCAUUCUAACUCUGUUAUAUCAUUAGCUAAUCCCAAUAAGAAUUGUCUUAUAAUCACCCAUUUAUAAUGCUCGUUAACAUGGCUAUGCAUAUACUGAAUUACUCUGACGGAGUGCCUUGUAACAUUCUGCUCACACCAGCAAGGUGACUCUACUUGUGAUUAAGAUAUACCAGCAUGUGUACACAUACAGAAAUAAACAGAUAAUGCAUGCUCAUGUUCAAGGUCCAUCAAAGCAACAUUGAUAUUAAGUAAUAUUCUAUAU